AGAGUUUGAUCAUGCUCAGAGUGAACGUUGGCGGCGUGGAUUAGGCAUGCAAGUCGAGCGAUCGUAGCAAUACGGGAGCGGCAAACGGGGUAGGAAUACAUCGGAACGUACCUUUUGGUUGAGAAUAGCGUUGGGAAACUGACGGUAAUACUCAAUAAAGUCGAGAGACCAAAGGUUUACUGCCGGAAGAGCGGCCGAUGCGAUAUUAGGUAGUUGGUGGGGUAAUGGCCUACCAAGCCUGAGAUGUCUAGGGGGUGUGAGAGCAUGGCCCCCACCACUGGGACUGAGAUACUGCCCAGACACCUACGGGUGGCUGCAGUCGAGGAUCUUCGUCAAUGGGCGAAAGCCUGAACGAGCGACGCCGCGUGCGGGAUGAAGGCCCUUGGGUUGUAAACCGCUGUCAGGGGGGAUGAAACCGUAAGGUUGACAGAGCCCCAGAGGAAGCACGGGCUAAGUUCGUG
rnacentral:rRNA from 1 species